AUGACCUCAAUCAGGUAGGGAUACCCGCUGACUUAGCAUUC
rnacentral:rRNA from 1 species